AAAGAAAAAAGAAAGAAAAAGAAGAGACAUGCAGAUGCUUAUCCCUUCACUCUCUCCCCACCACUCCCCAUUCCAUGGUGGCCUCCGCCUGUUCUCCCCGCUGCCUGCUCUCCUCCGCAUGCCGCGCCGUCGCACGACGCCUCCUCCCUGUUGCCACGAUGUCGCCCAGCGCCUCCUCCUCCACCCCUCUGCCUCGCCCCGCCGCCACCUCGCCGCAUGACGGCCUCGCCUCGCCAGCAACCCCGCCGGUCUUACCUAGAUAAACUCUGCCGCUGCCAUCCCCAUGUCCCAGCGCAGAUCUAGACGGGAGCUAGAGGGGCAUGCUGGACACGAUGCGGGAGCGGGCAUAUCAUAGCGGACCGAGAUCCAGUGCGUCUACGUGCCCGCCGUCAUCGUUGCCCCCCGUGCUUGGCUCCCACACUCGCUCCAGGUAGGUGCUCGCAGCUCGCCUACUGCUCGGCUGCUCCAGGUACUUGACGGACUCAGGUAGUCGUAAUUGGAUGUCAGCUUCUUAAUCAGUACUCAUAGUUUUUGUGUACCUAUCAUUUGUCAAUUGAAGUGGAAAUGAAAGUCUAGUCUUAUUUUACUAAAUUGUGAGAUUCAGGAUCUGGUUGAUAUUUUGAGAGUUUUUACCAUUUAGGUUUUUGGUAACGCACAUCAGGAAUGCACACUUUAAUUUAUUUUAAGUGUGUACCUAUCAUUUGUUGUGUUUUAACAUAUCUUGCCACUACUCUGUAGUUAAAGCACAACGUGAGGCUGCAGCAGAAGCUUGAGGAAUGCAGGGGCUAAUAAUAGUACUCAUCAACCAAAAAUACCGGCGUCGUCAACCAUGCUUUGAACUUUUGGAGAUCAAGCUGUACGGUUGUACCAUGAAGAUUUUUGAUGCAGUUUAAGGAUUCAAGUGGCGAUUGCAACCCAAAACAUUGCAAAGAAUCUGCUACCAGAGGCUUCAUUAUGCACACCUUUUCGUUUUACAAAAUGGAGUCUGAUCUGCUGUCAUCACAUCACCAGGUAUGCCUACAGCACCAAUGUUUGUACAGUGACAUUUAUUCACACACAAAUGAAGAUAUUCUAAGGUUAGAACGAACAUCACCUUCAACACCUGGUGUGUAUCGUAGUUGGGUGACAGCAGAUUGCGCAGUGGGCCUCUCGGCGGUGUGAAAAUCCGGCAGAAGAAAUCACUUGAUCAUAUAUUUGAUUAUACUUCUGAUUGCUCAAUCAUAUAUAAAGAACAAAAUAUAAUGGACAAACCAGGUGAUAAUGAUAUUGCCGCGUGUGUCCUAGAUGGGGUGUGUUCUGCAUUAAGAAUAGUAGAUGUAGCUUUCUUAUGAGCCAUGUUUAGUGCAUACCUCUCCCUUUCCCUUUGUCUCUUCAACUCUUUAGGACCUGCCAUUUGGCCUGCGUGACAAAAUCUUUACAUAGGCUCGAGUUGGUGAUAUAUUUAAGUUACUUACCUGAGUUGGUGAUGUUGAAUAGGUCCUCAAAUUGGGUCCCUAAGUCGUCACGCUGAGUCGUAAUUAUUGAAAUUUUCCUUGUUACAAAAUGUCCGGUUUGAUUUGAAGGAAUUUGGAUCAUGAAAUGGAGCCUGAUCGGACAUCAUCACAUCAGCAUUUAUGCCUGUACCACCAAUGUCAGUACAGUAACAUUUUUUUACACACAAAUGGAGUUCCAAAUUUGUUAGGCUGAGAGGAUGCCAUAUGCAACUGUCUCAAUCAGGAUCUUAGUGUUCCCAAUCAUGGUUGUUGUACAUGAAAGAUUUACUUGAGCCAUAAACAGGAUGGUUGCAGGAGAAAAAUAAGUACAAUGAUUUGGUGUUUUCAAUGCUUUGAGCUGAAAAACAGUUCAGAUACCUGAAUUGCUGAUGGUCCUGAAGUCGUUACGCCGAGAGGAUGCCAUAUGCAACUGUCACAAUCAGGAUCUUAGUGUUCCCAAUCAUGGUUGUUGUGCUUGAAAGAUUUAGUCAUGAGCCAUAAAUAUGAUGGUUGUAGGAGAAAAAGAAGUACAAUGAUUUGGUGCUUUCAAUGUUUUGAGCUGAAAAACAGUUCAGAUUAUAUGCUUCCAGCCGUGAAACUGCUUAUCGCAUUAGUCUUUUUCAUUGUAUUUUAGCGCUUCCGGUGAUUCCUUCUCUGUCAUCAUUGUGCUUUUCAGGUUUGAUUCCUUUUGUGACACAUUAAGUGGCCUCACAGGUGAAAGGAGGGGCGGCCACCCACUCGACGGUGCGGUGCAGGGUGGCAAGGGAGCCGGCAGGGAGGCGUCAACGCGGUGCAUGGCCGUGAGGGAACCGUCUAGGGAGGCGACGAUGCGAUGCAGGGAUCGAGGCCGCCGUGCAGGGAGGCGACGGGGCUGCUGAGCUUCGUCUGGGGCGGUGGCGAGGAAAGGCAGGGAGAGGGGCGAGGGAGACGAUUAGGUUUAGUUUCCUUUUAUUCAAAUUGAUUAGAUGGUUAGAUUAGCGUGAUUUGAGGGCCUGCGGAGGUGGGAUGGAGAGUUUCAUGUUUUCAUCUGGUGGAGUAUGGUCAGUCCAUGUAAACUGCUAAGCGCACACCAGAUCUCGAAUAAAUUAAUAAUGGCUGUUAGAUUGGGUCGUGUGGGCUUCAUCCUGUGGU